rnacentral:rRNA from 1 species
GACGUAGGGCGCGAGCGUUUGUCCGGAUUUAUUGGGCGUAAAGAGCUCGUAGGCGGCUUGUUGCGUCGGCCGUGAAAACCCGUGGCUUAACUGCGGGCUUGCAGCUGAUACGGGCGGGCUAGAGUUCGGUAGGGGAGACUGGAAUUCCUGGUGUAGCGGUGAAAUGCGCAGAUAUCAGGAGGAACACCGGUGGCGAAGGCGGGUCUCUGGGGCCGAUACUGACGCUGAGGAGCGAAAGCGUGGGGAGCGAACAGG